CGUAAAUUUCGAGUAUUGGCCAGGGUUCGAUUCCCAGGCCCUCAUUCCAUCAGGUAGGGUUAGGGAGGAGAGCUCUUCCAUCGCCCGGCACGAAUGUCGCCCGGGACGAUCUACCUCGAUGUCCCGGAGUCGCCAUCGCUCGAUAGCACAGAAACCACGGCCGAUGCCGAUGUGGUAGCAGUAGCAGCGGCGGGGUCAGCGGCGUCGUCGGUAGGAGCAUCCUCCGCGCCUCCCUCGGCCUCUUGCGGAUCAUCCAAGUCGUGCUCCAAAUCCACUAGCAGCGUCCACGAGCUCCUUGAAUGCCCGGUUUGCACGAACUCGAUGUAUCCUCCCAUCCACCAGUGUCCAAAUGGCCACACUCUGUGCUCUACUUGUAAAGUCCGCGUCCACAAUCGCUGCCCAACUUGCCGAUACGAGCUGGGAAACAUUCGCUGCUUGGCUCUGGAGAAGGUUGCGGAAUCGCUGGAACUUCCUUGUAGGUACCAGGGACUUGGAUGCCCCGACAUCUUUCCAUACUACAGCAAGCUCAAGCACGAAGCGCAGUGUUGCUUCCGGCCUUACGGCUGCCCCUACGCGGGAUCCGAGUGCUCCAUCAGUGGCAACAUUCCAACGCUGGUUGCUCACUUGCGCGACGAUCACAAGGUGGACAUGCACAAUGGUUGCACCUUCAACCAUCGCUAUGUCAAGUCCAAUCCACAGGAAGUCGAGAAUGCUACCUGGAUGCUCACGGUUUUCAACUGUUACGGACAGCACUUCUGCCUACACUUUGAGGCGUUUCAGCUCGGGACAAUGCCAGUUUACAUGGCUUUUUUGAGAUUCAUGGGGGACGACAACGAUGCCAAGAACUUCAGCUACAGCCUCGAGGUAGGCGCCAAUGGCAGGAAAUUGAUGUGGCAGGGUGUCCCGAGAAGCAUUCGGGACUGCCACAAGAAAGUGAGGGACAGCCAUGACGGAUUGAUAAUCCAGAGAAACAUGGCCUUGUUUUUCUCCGGGGGUGACAGGAAGGAGCUAAAGCUGAGGGUGACAGGCAGAAUUUGGAGGGAGCAGUAAAAGAGCUUUUGGGCAGCGAAGCCAAAGUGGGACUGGAUGGGAGAGCUCUAGCAACUUCAAUUUCAUGCUUUUGAAAUUGCUGCAAAGGUGGGGUGGGGAGAAUAGCUAUUACUCAGCACAGUGUAGAUUUAUUGGCUGUAGUUUCAUAUCAAAGGUAUCCAAACCUGUGAAGGCUUGAAGGAACUCUUGAAUUGUGUACAAACAAAUAAACUGCACCUUGAUAUGUUUUUAAUCACGAAUUACUUUCAUUUUGCUA